rnacentral:lncRNA from 1 species
AAAAAAACCACGGGGCAACUCCGGCCAAAAUCCACUAUAAUAAAAUAUAGAUUACAAUUAUUCAAGUUUAUGCCCCUAAACUUGAAUUCUCCACAAAUUGGAAUACCACAAUAAACCAAUCUCUAAUACUACAAUUAUCUCACCACAAAUCAACAAUUUGAUUAACCUUGUGAGAACCCACUUUGAAUACUACACCCACUAAAGCAUCCAAAAUACAACUUAGAGAAAAUUCCAAUUUGAUAUGUGUAGAGAAGAAAAAUAAACCUGUGUGAUACCACACCCAAUGUUGAAGAAAAAAAAUCCUUUUUCUCCCUUUCAUUUUUCUCUCCACGUGCCGGCAAUCUCUUUCUAUUUC